AUUGAACGCUGGCGGCAGGCCUAACACAUGCAAGUCGAGCGAGCGGCGGACGGGUGAGUAAUGGAUGGGGAUCUGCCCGCUAGAGGGGGAUAACUACUGGAAACGGUGGCUAAUACCGCAUACUAUAGUUUGAACCCUGAUGGGUUUAGCUAGUAGGUGGGGUAAAGGCUCCCCUAGGCGACGAUCCCUAGCGGGUCUGAGAGGAUGAUCAGCCACACUGGGACUGAGACACGGUCCAGACUCCUACGGGAGGCAGCAGUGGGGAAUAUUGGACAAUGGGCGCAAGCCUGAUGCAGCCAUGCCGCGUGUAUGAAGAAGGCCUUAGGGUUGUAAAGUACUUUCAGCGGGGAGGCGUUACCCGCAGAAGAAGCACCGGCUAACUCCGUGCCAGCAGCCGCGGUAAUUC
rnacentral:rRNA from 1 species